rnacentral:rRNA from 1 species
GAUGAACGUUGGCGGCGUGCUUAACACAUGCAAGUCGAACGGAAAGGCCCAAGCUUGCUUGGGUACUCGAGUGGCGAACGGGUGAGUAACACGUGGGUGAUCUGCCCUGCACUUCGGGAUAAGCCUGGGAAACUGGGUCUAAUACCGGAUAGGACGAUGGUUUGGAUGCCAUUGUGGAAAGUUUUUUCGGUGUGGGAUGAGCUCGCGGCCUAUCAGCUUGUUGGUGGGGUAAUGGCCUACCAAGGCGUCGACGGGUAGCCGGCCUGAGAGGGUGUACGGCCACAUUGGGACUGAGAUACGGCCCAGACUCCUACGGGAGGCAGCAGUGGGGAAUAUUGCACAAUGGGCGCAAGCCUGAUGCAGCGACGCCGCGUGGGGGAUGACGGCCUUCGGGUUGUAAACUCCUUUCGCUAGGGACGAAGCGUUUUUGUGACGGUACCUGGAGAAGAAGCACCGGCUAACUACGUG